UGAUUAUGGCUCAGGAUGAACGCUGGCGGCGUGCCUAACACAUGCAAGUCGAACGAUAGUAGCAAUACUAUAGUGGCGCACGGGUGAGGAACACGUAGCUAACCCUGCCCCAAAGUGCGGGAUAACGUUCCGAAAGGAACGCUAAUACCGCAUAAGCUCACGCGAAGUAGAGGCGAGUGAGAAAAGAUUUAUCGCUUUGGGAGGGGGCUGCGGCCUAUCAGGUAGUUGGUGGGGUAAAAGCCUACCAAGCCGACGACGGGUAGGGGGUCUGAGAGGAUGAUCCCCCACACUGGGACUGAGACACGGCCCAGACUCCUACGGGAGGCAGCAGUGAGGGAUAUUGCACAAUGGGGGAAACCCUGAUGCAGCGACGCCGCGUGGGUGAUGAAGGCUUUCGGGUCGUAAAACCCUUUUCUAGGUGACGAGGAAGGACGGUAGCCUAGGAAUAAGUCUCGGCUAACUACGUGCCAGCAGCCGCGGUAAAACGUAGGAGGCAAGCGUUAUCCGGAGUUACUGGGCGUAAAGCGCGCGCAGGUGGUUGGAUAAGUGGGGCGUGAAAUAUCCCGGCUAAACCGGGAGGGGACGAACCAGACUAUCCGACUGGAGUACAGUAGAGGAACGCGGAAUUCGGGGUGUAGCGGUGAAAUGUGCAGAGAUCCCGAGGAACACCAGAGGUGAAGACGGCGUUCUGGGCUGUAACUGACACUGAGGCGCGAAAGCGUGGGGAGCGAACGGGAUUAGAGACCCGGUAGUCCACGCCGUAAACGAUGCUAGCUAGAUGUCUGGGCCGCGCAAGCGGAGUGGGCGUCGAAGCCAACGCGAUAAGCUAGCCGCCUGGGGAGUACGGUCGCAAGGCUAAAACUCAAAUGAAUUGACGAAUCCCGC
rnacentral:rRNA from 1 species